GGCACGGUGGCAUAGUGGUUCGCACUAUUUUCUCACAGCAAAAGGUCGUGGGUUCGAUUCCGGCCUGGGGCC